CCCUGUUCUUCGGACGCACAUCACCAACGACUCCAACUCUCCAAGCCAGCACAGCACGGCCAUGGCGUUGUCGCCGUCUGCGCAAGCGACAAGCCCGCUCGCGCGCCAGCUGCUGCGCCACGUGUCGUCCGGCCUGGUCGCCGCCGCCUUCCACCGCCCAGCUCCAGCCAUCAGUCUGCCAAGCGCGCCGCGGGGAGCAGACGACGUGGCCCUGGCGGCGUCUCACCACCAGCGGCUCCGGCCCGCUCCGUCACCGAAAGGGCGCCCCGGCGCCCCGAAGCAGGGGAGCGGCGGGCAAGUCCACGCAGCUCCG
rnacentral:misc_RNA from 1 species